UACGGAGGGGGCUAGCGUUGUUCGGAAUUACUGGGCGUAAAGCGCACGUAGGCGGCUUUGCAAGUCAGAGGUGAAAGCCCGGGGCUCAACCCCGGAAUUGCCUUUGAGACUGCAUCGCUAGAAUUGUGGAGAGGUAAGUGGAAUUCCGAGUGUAGAGGUGAAAUUCGUAGAUAUUCGGAAGAACACCAGUGGCGAAGGCGGCCUUCUGGGUCGACCCUGACGCUGAGAGGCGAAAGCGUGGGGAGCGAACGGG
rnacentral:rRNA from 1 species